CAAAACCUUUGCAAAUGGCUCUGGUCUUUAAUCAAUCCCUCUUUCAGUUCACCCCUUCCCAGUCACUCAAAUUACCUGUCUUUAUUAUUAUUAAAUAGUGAUGAGGUAUCACUAUGUUGCCCAGGCUGGUCUUGAACUCCUGAGCUCAAGUGAUCCUCCUGCCUCAGCUUUCCAAAGUGCUAGGAUUAUAGGCGUGAGCCACUACACCCAGCCAAAUGAUCUUUCCAUAACGUGUUACUCCCUUCAUCUCAAACAUUUAAAUGCCAAGGCAUUUAAAAGGUUCCCAAAGUUUAUAAUAAAGUUCAAAUAAUUUACAGGCCGGGCGCGGUGGCUCAAGCCUGUAAUCCCAGC